rnacentral:rRNA from 1 species
GCAAGUCGUGCGAGACCUUCGGGUCUAGCGGCGGACGGGUUAGUAACGCGUGGGAACAUACCCUUCUCUAAGGAAUAGCCACUGGAAACGGUGAGUAAUACCUUAUACGCCCUUCGGGGGAAAGAUUUAUCGGAGAUGGAUUGGCCCGCGUUAGAUUAGAUAGUUGGUGGGGUAACGGCCUACCAAGUCUACGAUCUAUAGCUGGUUUUAGAGGAUGAUC